UGACACCUAAUGAAUCUUUUAUAUCCACAAGUCACCAUUAGCCUUAACUAUCUUCAUUUUUUUUCACUCAACACCGAACAUAAACCCAAAAAAAGAAAAAGAAAGGUCGAUAGAGAAUGUGAUGCUUCCAUGGAAACCCUGAGUUUCCGACUCUAAUUUCUUGCGAUCCGUAACUAAAAAAAUCUAAUCCGGUAAAAGUGUUUAUAUUCUUCUCCUCUACGCGUUGGCGUUAUUUUUGUCCGGUAAAAGUUGACGGUGAUGUAGCUCCUCUUCCCCUUGAGUUCGGCUAACUAGAGUUCUAGGAAGCACAGACGAUUUCUGACGCUUUCUUCUUCAGCAGCUCAAUCAGAAAGAAGCUUUCGAGGAUUUUGGUUCCGUACGAAGGUAGGGGAUUUUAUUUUGAAAUUAACUGUUUUAAACUAUGAAUGCCAUGGAAGUCUAGUGGGUAUUUGUAAAUAAUUUAAGAUUGUUUGGAAUGACUAAAUGAUGAAUUUGAGUUGUGGUUGUGACUGAAUUUGAUGAAUAUGUAUUUGAUUUCUUGAUUGAAAAGAGAUUGAAAAUGGUUCAGUUGGGAUCCGAAAAGGGUGGCUAAGUCCGAAUUUUAGGGGAAGUGCUGCCAAAAUUUUAUAAAAUCUGAGGUUUUAUUUGAAAAGUUAUUUUAAAAGAUUUGGUUUUAGAAAAUUAAAUUAUUUGAGAUUUAUUUAGUUGAGAAAAGGUGUGUUCUAUUUUUUUUAAAAACUCGAUUUAUUAAAGAAAAAUAUCAUGUUUUAAAUCUAAUUUUGUAAGGAGAGAUUUUGUUUUAAGUGUUGUUUUGAGCUCAGUUUUUUAAGAAAAGGAAUCUCUGCCACAAGAGAACAGGGAAUAAGAAUUUAAAGAAUAUAUUAACUAAAAGGAUCUCUGCUACAGGAGAGCAGAGAACAAAGAUUAAAGAAAUAUAUUAAAUUAAUGAAAUGUCUGCCACAGGAGAGCAGAUGUGAUAUUGUUUGAGCCUUAGUGGCAAAUGUAAAGUGGGGACGCCCACACACUGAGAACUGUUUUCCAGAUGUACGCUUAUUGAUUUGGAAAGUCACACUGUAUGCGGCCUAGCCGUACGACUUAUAAGCACACUGUAUGCAUCUGGAAAGCCAUAUCUGGGACUUGUGUCCGGAUAAUGUCGGGAGCGGAUAGGCAACCGACACAUGAGCUCAUAGCCUGCAUUAGGGACAGGCAUGCAUCAUAUGCAUUUAUAUGACAUUGUUUGGGUGUGCAUAUUAUAAUUGGUUUGCCUAUGUGAAUAGUUACAUUUAAUUGCUAAUUGUUCUACUUGAUAUAAGUGCUUGAUUGUGUUUGAACCUUCUUACUUGUGUUUGUGGCUGAAAAUUGGUUGGAUUGUGAUGAAUUAGUAGUUGAUUGAGUUGCUUGGGCCUAGGGCCGUGGUUGAUUAUGAGAUGUUGUGGUUGAAAUAUGACUAAUUUUGUGAUUAAAAUCUGUUUUGAGUUAAGAAGUUUAAAGAAAAGUAAUUAUUUAUCUGAAGUAGAGAUAAAAGUAUUUCCAAAGGUUUAACAAAAUAGUUUUAUUGAGUAAGUUAAUUAUUUGUAUUGAAUUCAUUACUUUUACGUCAUUCCCAAUCCCUAUUGAGAACGUGUGGUUUGUUCUCACCCAAAAUCUUCCACCCUUUCAGUGACACAGGUUCGAAGAUUCAGUAAGAAGCUGCAGACGAUUAGUAGAUUUAUUUGUGGUUCCUGUUGUUUUUUAUAGAGUUCCCUCGCCCUUGUUGUUUCAGGGUUUUUAUUUUAUCCAGAGGGAUAGGUAUUGUAUUUGAGUUUUACAUUGAAUUUAAUUGUAUGGCAUCUAUUAUUAUUAAUAAUUAUGUGAUUAUUGUUAUUCGAAG
rnacentral:lncRNA from 1 species